GGAAGAAAGCUUGCUUUCUUUGCUGGCGACCGGCGCACAGGUGAGUAACACGUAUCCAACCUGCCCUUUACUCGGGGAUAGCCUUUCGAAAGAAAGAUUAAUACCCGAUAGCAUAAUGAUUCCGCAUGGUUUCAUUAUUAAAGGAUUCCGGUAAAGGAUGGGGAUGCGUUCCAUUAGGUUGUUGGUGAGGUAACGGCCCACCAAGCCUUCGAUGGAUAGGGGUUCUGAGAGGAAGGUCCCCCACAUUGGAACUGAGACACGGUCCAAACUCCUACGGGAGGCAGCAGUGAGGAAUAUUGGUCGAUGGGCGUUAGCCUGAACCAGCCAAGUAGCGUGAAGGAUGAAGGCUCUAUGGGUCGUAAACUUCUUUUAUAUAAGAAUAAAGUGCAGUAUGUAUACUGUUUUGUAUGUAUUAUAUGAAUAAGGAUCGGCUAACUCCGUGCCAGCAGCCGCGGUAAUACGGAGGAUCCGAGCGUUAUCCGGAUUUAUUGGGUUUAAAGGGAGCGUAGGUGGACUGGUAAGUCAGUUGUGAAAGUUUGCGGCUCAACCGUAAAAUUGCAGUUGAUACUGUCAGUCUUGAGUACAGUAGAGGUGGGCGGAAUUCGUGGUGUAGCGGUGAAAUGCUUAGAUAUCACGAAGAACUCCGAUUGCG
rnacentral:rRNA from 1 species